ACACCAUUUCCUGCAAAAAUUGAUUGGCUAUGGUUCAUCACCUCCUCUGGGUGAUCUGCUAUCUUCCUUCUCUUAUGACUCAGGUUAUUGACAGCUGGGAAAAGGCACACACCUCUGACUGAUGGUGACCCAAAAAGAAAUCAUAGAGAAGCAAAUUUGGCUCCACUGGUUUGAUUUUUCCUUCCUUCCUCCUUACACAUCCAAGGAGGUUUUGCUCUGGAAAUCUCUUGCUAUGGAAUGCCUAACAAACCUGAACCAGGAAACCCUUUACCAACAGGAAGUGACCCAGUCUUUCUGCAUGGCAGGUGGCCACGCUGCCACCUGCUCCCUUCCUGUUAGUCAUGACUCCAAGGGUCUUGACAGAGGGUAGUGACAGGCAACUGGAGAUCUGGAAAGAAAAUCUCUCUUCAAAGCAGGUUUGCUGUGUUGCAAACGCCAGGGGACAUCAGUCACAGAGACCUGAAUGUACACAGCACCCCCUGGAGUUGGCAAUGCGGAGGCUCUGGCUGUUGAUCCCAAAGAAGAUUUAAAUUGCAGUCCAUUAUAUUUUUCUCUCAGACUUCUGUUUCUUUGAAUAUUCCAAAUAGAUUAAAAUAUAAUCUGGAAUCUUAAGUGCCUUAGUCUUAUUUAGGUAACAAUACUAUCUAAGAAAAACUCUAGAAGAAUUCACAACAAAUUGCUAACUAUAGUUAUCUCUGGCAGAGGAAGUAGCAUGGGAAAGGCGUGGGAAAAUUUUUUACUUUGACUUUUUUUUCACCUGUGUACUUAUGUAUAAUUUGUGUGGAAUAAAUAAAAUAAUAAAUAUACAUGAUAAAAUUUCAAAUAAAAGUUAAAAAAAUUACGGGGCACUCCUCCUUGAGCCUAUAUGAUGGUUUUGAAAUACUAUUCAAAAAGAACCAGGACUUCUUAGAGAAAUGACUGAGUGCAGGUCUCGGGCAGGAAAUGUACAAGAUGAGCCUGGCACCUCUUAUUAAUACCACAUAGCAAGAAAGGUACGAAGAUGACUAGGGCCAUGGCAAAAGGACUCAUGAACUAACUUGAAGAGGCUUCUACUGACCAAAGACAGAGCAACUUAAGCAUCAAUAAAGAUAAUAACUGCAAUGGCUAUGAUGAAAUACAUUAUGAAUGCAUAAAGUUCAUACUAAUGUUAAACAAAAUGAAAAUUAAUUGGUCAUACUGGGUAGAUGAUGGGGAACUAACAAAUUAUUUUAAAAAUUGGUAAAUCCAGGCAAAGAAUCUAGCAUUUAUUGUAACUUUUUUUUUUUUUUUUGAGACAGAGUUUUGCUCUUGUUGCCUAGGCUGGAGUGCAAUGGUGCGAUCUCGGCUCACUGCAACCUCCUCCUCCCGGGUUAAAGCAAUUCUCCUGCCUCAGCCUCCCAAGUAGCUGGGAUUACAGGCAUGCACCACCACUCCCGGCUAAUUUUGUAUUUUUAGUAGACACAAGGUUUCUCCAUGUUGGUCAGGCUGGUCUCAAACUCCCGACCUCAGGUGAUCUGCCCACCUUGGCCUCCCAAAGUGCUGGGAUUACAGGGCACCCGGCCCUAUUCUAACUUUUUAAUGCAAACUGAGUCUCCAGGUCAUCAAAUAAUAGACAAGGAGAAGUUUCCUUUCAUAAAAAGUAAUCCAGCUAAUAAAUUAAAACAGAAUGAGAAAAUUCAUAAUUCCUAAUGAAUGAUUAUACCCAGGCAUUGGCCACCCACAGCUGUGAGCUUUACCAAAAGGAAAACAACUUGGCCUUAGGUGCAUCCUAAUGAAAAAGCGCAAUCCCACAUAAAAAGUGGUUUUGCCAAAUACAGGAAAAAAAAAAAAGAACCAAAAAACUUUGAAUCUGAUGAAGUGUCCAGGUCCAACGGCCAAUUGGCGUGUUAAGCAAUAGAAGAGGUUUCCAGUCUGUGGACUGCGGGAAACUCUACAGCUUUCUUCAACAAAGCAACUGAAAGGGAGAGAAAAAGAGGUAGGUGGAGGGGAAACUUCAGAGACUAUCAACCAAUCAUGAUACGCAGACCUUAUUUGGAUUUUGAUUCAGAUAUACAAACUGUAUAAACAAAGCAACUUUUAUAAUAUUUACGAAACAACUGGAAAUUUCAACACUGAAAGGAUAUUUGAUGAUAUUAAAGAACUUGUUUUACUAAUUUGUAAUAUUUUACAUAAUGCUAUGAGGAUUAUGUUUUUUCAAAGUGUUCAUUCUCUUCUAAAGAUACUAAAAAACAGAUGAAAUAAUACUAUAUCUGGAAUAUGCUUCAAAUAAUGUGGGAAUAGUUGAGGUAUCAAAGCAGAUAGAUUGGUCACGGAUAAUUGUUGGAGCCAGGUGAGGGAAAUCGAUGGGGCUUUAUAUUAUUCUAAUUUUGUAUAUGUUAAAUUUUUUUUAAGUAAACAAAAUCAUUAAACAUCAAUUUGUCCUGAAAAGGGACAUUGUAUCACAAGAGGGUCUGA
rnacentral:lncRNA from 10 species